rnacentral:rRNA from 1 species
AGUGAACGCUGGCGGUAGGCCUAACACAUGCAAGUCGAACGGCAGCACAGUAAGAGCUUGCUCUUACGGGUGGCGAGUGGCGGACGGGUGAGGAAUACAUCGGAAUCUACUUUUUCGUGGGGGAUAACGUAGGGACACUUACGCUACUACCGCAUACGACCUACGGGUGAAAGCAGUGGAUCUUCGGACCUUGCGCGAUUGUAUGAGCCGAUGUCGGAUUAGCUAGUUGGCGGGGUAAAGGCCCACCAAGGCGACGAUCCGUAGCUGGUCUGAGAGGAUGAUCAGCCACACUGGAACUGAGACACGGUCCAGACUCCUACGGGAGGCAGCAGUGGGGAAUAUUGGACAAUGGGCGCAAGCCUGAUCCAGCCAUACCGCGUGGGUGAAGAAGGCCUUCGGGUUGUAAAGCCCUUUUGUUGGGAAAGAAAAGCAGCAGGUGAAUACCCCGCUGUUCUGACGGUACCCAAAGAAUAAGCACCGGCUAACUUCGUG